rnacentral:misc_RNA from 1 species
GAUUGUACCUCAUACUAGUCA